UUUGCAGAACCCCAUGAGCACUAAGAAAUUCGAACGCACAUUGCGCCCAUCGGGUUCGUUCCCGUUGGCACGUCUGGCUGAGGGUCGAAUUAUCGAAAACGAUCCGCGUUGGGCAGCUUCGCGCGCUAGUAGUCGGAGCGUCGCCCAUGCGGUGUAUUCGGCGAGCUAUGGUCCUAACACGACCAUACCUUGCUAAGUCUUUGCUAUGCCAUUUGCUCGCAGUCAUUUGCUCAAUGCGAGGCGAUGAUGGCCGUCAAGUGUUGCUCUCAGAUGCGGCUCCGAGCACGUGUUGUUGCUCUGUUGGUGGUGUGGUGGUGAUAUGGUUUGUUUGGAUGCAUGCAUCGACAGCUAGUGAUGAGAGUGAUGCGAGGUGGCUAUCGCUUUGUUUUGACCUCAGCUCAGUCGUGACUACCCGCUGAAUUUAAGCAUCUAACUAAGCGGAGGAAAAGAAACUAAAU
rnacentral:rRNA from 1 species